CCUACGGGUGGCUGCAGUGGGGAAUAUUGGACAAUGGGCGAAAGCCUGAUCCAGCCAUGCCGCGUGUGUGAAGAAGGCCUUCGGGUUGUAAAGCACUUUCAGUGGGGAAGAAAGCCUUGGGGCUAAUACCCUCGAGGAAGGACAUCACCCACAGAAGAAGCACCGGCUAACUCCGUGCCAGCAGCCGCGGUAAUACGGAGGGUGCGAGCGUUAAUCGGAAUUACUGGGCGUAAAGCGCGCGUAGGCGGUCUGAUAAGCCGGUUGUGAAAGCCCCGGGCUCAACCUGGGAACGGCAUCCGGAACUGUCAGGCUAGAGUGCAGGAGAGGAAGGUAGAAUUCCCGGUGUAGCGGUGAAAUGCGUAGAGAUCGGGAGGAGUACCAGUGGCGAAGGCGGCCUUCUGGACUGACACUGACGCUGAGGUGCGAAAGCGUGGGUAGCAAACAGGAUUAGAUACCCCGGUAGUC
rnacentral:rRNA from 1 species